rnacentral:lncRNA from 1 species
AUUUUAGUGAGCCCUCUUUACUACCUGAUUGGUCUGGUGUGAGCUGAGUUACCAGCCCUGUGUUUAAAGUAUAUUAAGACUUUCGUUCCAUAUGGGAAAGAUGGGAGAUAGAUCUGGAAGGAUUUCUGCAGUGCUGGUGCCUCCUACCUGAGUCUACACCACAUGGGAAUGGUUUCUAAGGAUUCUCCCUGAUCUUCCAUGUGAGCACCUGGCGGGGUUCCAGGAGGAACAGCCUGAAAGUGCAAGACUAAGAAAUUCCUUUUUGUCUCUGGUCAGCUGGAGUUUAACACUCUCAUGCUAGCUCAUACUUAGCAUAUUGCAACUCAUUUAUACUUUCCAGUUGAAUCUACUAACUAGAUGUUAUGACAUUGAAAGGUGUCUAUCCAAGAUAAGCAAAGGUCUAGAUUCUAUCUCCCUCCUCAAGGACAUACAUUUUCUCAGAUUUUAGGUUAAGUUGCUUGACCUUCAGUUCUCUGAUGGUUUCAAGAAAAGUCAUUAAUUUGUAGUUGUAUAGCUUUUUUUAUCUUGCUCUAAGGGUGGGAGCAACACUCCAGUUCUUUCCAAAUCUGAUUGGAAAGCUGAAAAGUGGUUCUGUUAGAGGCAUUUAAACCAGAGCAACUCCAUCUUAAACAGGAACUGGGUAAAAUGAGGCUGAAACCUACUGGGCUGCAUUCCCGGACGGUUAAGGCAUUCUAAGUCACAGGAUGAGAUAGGAGGUCAGCACAAAAUAUAGGUCACAAAGACCUUGCUGAUAAAACAGAUUGCAGUAAAGGAGCCUGUCAAAACCCACCAAAACCAAAAUGGCCAUGAGAGUGACCUCUGGCCGUCCUUAUUGCUACACUCCCACCAGCACCAUGACAGUUUACAAAUGCCAUGGCAAUGCCAGGAAGUUACUCUAGAUGGUCUAAAAAGGGGAGGCAUGAAUAAUCCACCCCUUGUUUAACAUAUCAUCAAAAAAUAACCAUAAACAUGGGCAACCAGCGGCCCUCAGGGCUGCUCAGUCUACGGAGUAGCCAUUCUUUUUUUCCUUUACUUUCUAAAUAAGCUUGCUUUCACUUUGCACUGCAGACUUGCCCUGAAUUCUUUCUUGGGAGAAAUCCAAGAACCCUCUCUUGCGGUCUGGAUAGGGACCCCUUUCUGGUAACAGUUCCACUUUCAGAUCAGCAUUUUAAAAGGCUAUAAUGAGGGAUGUUCUUAUCCUUAGAAAAAGAUUUUUAAAAAGCUAUAGGAACUAUACAAAGGAUUAUAAAGCAAAAAUAUAAAAACAUGUAAUCUGUCUGCUAUCUCUUCCCAAAGACAUCUCCUUAAUACUUUGCAAGUUAAAUAAAAUAAUCAGAAGAGUUAUUCUUUUUUGUUUUACAUAAAAUUCUAAAAUUUAAAUGACCAACUUGAAGAAAAUUUUAUGGAAAAUUCUAUUAAAUUG